rnacentral:rRNA from 17 species
AAAACUUUCAACAACGGAUCUCUUGGCUCUGGCAUCGAUGAAGAACGCAGCGAAAUGCGAUACGUAAUGCGAAUUGCAGAAUUCAGCGAGUCAUCGAAUCUUUGAACGCACAUUGCGCCCGCCAGCAUUCUGGCGGGCAUGCCUGUCCGAGCGUCAUUU